UACGAAGGGGGCGAGCGCUGUUCGGAAUUACUGGGCGUAAAGGGCGCGUAGGCGGCCGAUCAAGUCAGAUGUGAAAGUCCUGGGCUUAACCUGGGGACUGCAUUUGAUACUGAUUGGCUUGAAUUCGGGAGAGGAUAGCGGAAUUCCCAGUGUAGAGGUGAAAUUCGUAGAUAUUGGGAAGAACACCGGUGGCGAAGGCGGCUUCCUGGACCGACACUGACGCUGAGGCGCGAAAGCUAGGGGAGCAAACGGG
rnacentral:rRNA from 1 species